UUGUCUCAAAGAUUAAGCCAUGCAUGUCUCAGUACAAGCCACAUUAAGGUGAAACCGCGAAAGGCUCAUUAAAUCAGUUAUGGUUCCUUAGAUCGUACCCACAUUUACUUGGAUAACUGUGGUAAUUCUAGAGCUAAUACAUGCAAACAGAGUUCCGACCGGAGACGGGAGGAAUGCUUUUAUUAGAUCAAAACCAAUCGGCGGCGGGUUCGCCCGUUCGCCGCUCAACUUGGUGACUCUGAAUAACUUUCGGCUGAUCGCACGGUCUCGCACCGGCGACGCAUCUUUCAAAUGUCUGCCUUAUCAACUGUCGAUGGUAGGUUCUGCGCCUACCAUGGUCGUAACGGGUAACGGGGAAUCAGGGUUCGAUUCCGGAGAGGGAGCCUGAGAAACGGCUACCACAUCCAAGGAAGGCAGCAGGCGCGCAAAUUACCCACUCCCGGCACGGGGAGGUAGUGACGAAAAAUAACGAUACGGGACUCAUCCGAGGCCCCGUAAUCGGAAUGAGUACACUUUAAAUCCUUUAACGAGGAUCAAUUGGAGGGCAAGUCUGGUGCCAGCAGCCGCGGUAAUUCCAGCUCCAAUAGCGU
rnacentral:rRNA from 1 species